UACGUAGGGUGCGAGCGUUAAUCGGAAUUACUGGGCGUAAAGCGUGCGCAGGCGGUGAGCUGUGUCCGAUGUGAAAGCCCCGGGCUUAACCUGGGAAUGGCAUUGGAAACUGGCUCGCUGGAGUGUGGCAGAGGGGGGUGGAAUUCCGGCGUGUAGCAGUGAAAUGCGUAGAGAUGCGGAGGAACACCGAUGGCGAAGGCAGCCCCCUGGGCUAACACUGACGCUCAGGCACGAAAGCGUGGGGAGCAAACAGG
rnacentral:rRNA from 1 species